CUACGCAAAUUCUAGUGGAAACAAACCACAAAUUUCUUUGAAUCCGUAUUCAUAGACAAAGUGGCUUAUGGCUCACCCAGAGUUUCUUGCAAAUUCCCUUUAUAUCACUGGAGAUUCUUAUUCUGGAAAAAUCGUUCCAAUAGUUGCCAAGAAAAUAUCGGAUGGGAAUGAGGUCGGAGGUGAGCCAAUGAGGAAUCUGAAAGUAAUAAUCCGACAAUUUAAUUUUUUGAUAAUUAAUGCAAGCUUUAUGUUGUUUUAUUAUCCAAUUUCUCAUGGAUAAUAAUUAACUAUCAAA